rnacentral:pre_miRNA from 1 species
GGGGGGGGAGGGUUGUUCCUCAGCCUGGAUUGUGAGAGGGCUCAGGCCAGGCCGAGGGACCCCUCUGGUGCAUG